CAAACAUAUUUAAAUGACAUAAAGUAGAACAUCCUCACAUUUUAGACGCUGGAACCAGCAAAUGUUUGGCGAUGUUUUUUUGCUUAGGCAAUGACACAAACAU